rnacentral:tRNA from 1 species
GUGGUCGUAGCUCAGCGGUAGAGCGCCGGAUUGUGGCUCCGGAGACGCGGAUUCAACUGCCGUCGAUCACCCCA